AUGAGUGAAGAAGUUAUGUAGAGUCGAUUAAGAGAUAGAAUAUAAGAUAGAACAUGAGUUAAGGCAUGAGUUUUUGUCGUUGAGUUCUAAUCGAGAUUCAUUUUAUGACAUGAACCUUCGAUGAUGACGAUGAUCCCUGAAGACACGAGCAGAGCAGGGAAGUAAGUAACUCCGCUUUGACGGGAGUUUUUGAGUAAGGUCUUCAGGCUAAGCGAGGAGCGAGAUUGGUCUGGUGCUGGCGGGGAAUUGUUAGAGGAUGUAUUUACUUUAUCGUAUUUCCAUUUUGACGAUAAAGUCUUGAUAAAGGAUAUACUUUAACUUUUCUUUUGAAGUUAAGCAAUGUACUCACGGUUAUAUGUCUUCAUACAUAUAAUCGAUUCGCCUUUUGCUGCGAUACUCUGCAUAUUAUGAUUCCUUACGAAAAAUGAGCGAUACCCGUUUUGUUUUUGA